UAUUGGACAAUGGGCGCAAGCCUGAUCCAGCGAUGCCGCGUGUGUGAAGAAGGCCUGCGGGUUGUAAAGCACUUUUGGCGAAGACGAGGUUUAUUUAUUUUAAUAGAGUAGAUGAAUGACGGUAUUCGCAGAAAAAGCACCGGCUAACUCUGUGCCAGCAGCCGCGGUAAUACAGAGGGUGCAAGCGUUAAUCGGAAUGACUGGGCGUAAAGAGCGCGUAGGUGGUUACAUAAGUCAGAUGUGAAAUACCUGGGCUUAACCUGGGGAUGUCAUUUGAUACUGUGUGGCUAGAGUAUGGGAGAGGAAGGUGGAAUUUCCGGUGUAGCGGUGAAAUGCGUAGAUAUCGGAAGGAACAUCGGUGGCGAAGGCGGCCUUCUGGCCUAAUACUACACUGAGCGCGGAG
rnacentral:rRNA from 1 species